AAAAAGAUAUUGUAGGAUAAACACCAACAAAAGUGAAACAAAGAUCGGAGCUACGAGACAUGGAAAGUAGUGUCUGCGAAAAUCACACUGCGAAAAAGGAUAGCCGAUGAUUUGUUGCUGAUGAAUACAGAAUCGUGGUUGACGAAGCUUACAAAAAUUGCAAAGGCAUCAAAACCUUUGCUAAAAUGCGAGGCAAAACAGUUGCGGAAGAAGAGUGGAAGUGCAGGCAACUCUUCAUCCACAUGUUUGCAUUUGAUGCCAUUGGUUUGAUUCUGUUCCAACGUGUGCCUGAAGCAGGAACUGAGAACUUAAACACCAGUUCAGAGGCCCAGUUACAGACUGACACUAAGGUCAUGUUGCAGGGUGUCAGAUACCCAGACAGAAGUGACGGCUUCUAGAAGAAACCACAGGAGAAACAUGAAAGAUCAUCAUAUAGACAGAAAUUCAAAAGGAGUGGAAACAGUUAACACCACCUUUACAAAUUGAUAUGGUACAAUAACUGUAUUAGCGCUAAAGUGGAAUUCAAAAUCAGUAAUUAUUUCUAUGAAGCAAAUCCUGCAAUGCUAAGCAGUGCAAGUGGUUCUCCUUUAGGUUCCAGCAAAACUGCAUUAGAAAUAGUGUAUUGUGAAAGUUCUCAUGACAGUGAUGGACAGGCAUUUGCAGAGAUUGUAUUAAUGCUACUGUCAUACUUGAAGAUUAUCUGCAGCAGUGAUGAACAUUUCAACAUACAAGUUUUGCUGUCAUCUUCAUCAACUGUGUGCAAU